AAUUUUGGACAAUGGGGGAAACCCUGAUCCAGCCAUCCCUCGUGUAUGACGAAGUCCUUCGGGUCGUAAAGCGAUUUUCGGGGAGAUGAGUACGGUAAGUAUCUCCGGAGGAAGGAUCGGCGAACUAAGUGCCAGCAGCCGCGGUAAAACGUAGGAUCCGAGCGUUAUCCGAAUUCACUGGGAGUAAAGCGCAUGCAGGCGGCCGCACAAGUUGGAUGUGAAAUCUCCCGGCUCAACUGAGAGGGGACGUUCAAAACUGUGCGGCUCGAGGGCGGUAGAGGAAGGUAGAAUUCCCGGUGUAGUGGUGAAAUGCGUAGAUAUCGGGAGGAAUACCCGUGGCGAAGGCGACCUUCUGGACCGUUUCUGACGCUCAGAUGCGAAAGCUAGGGGAGCAAACAGG
rnacentral:rRNA from 1 species